rnacentral:rRNA from 1 species
CCAUGCUAGUCGCACGCGUGCAACUAGGCACGAGUGGCAGACCGCCUUCAGUAAUACGAUAGCUAACCUACCCUCUGGACAGAGACACCCCCGGGNAAACUGGGGCUAAUCCCUGAUAGGUGUGGAGGCCUGGAAUGGUUCCACGCCCAAAAGCAUAACAACCAUGUUUGUUAUGUGCCCGAGGAUGGGGCUGCGGCCGAUCAGGCCGUUGGCGAGGUAACGGCUCACCAAACCUUUGACCGGUACGGGCCAUGAGAGUGGUAGCCCGGAGAUGGACACUGAGAUAGGGGUCCAGGCCCUACGGGGCGCAGCAGGCGCGAAAACUCCACACUGUACGGAAGUACGAUGGGGUUACCUCGAGUGUAGUCUGUAAAAGAUUGCUUUUCCAUAGAGUAAUAUCCUGUGGGAAUAAGAGGGGGGCAAGACUGGUGUCAGCCGCCGCGGUAACACCAGCCCCUCGAGUGGUAGGGACUUUUAUUUGGCCUAAAGCGUUCGUAGCCGUCUGUAACCGUUGCCCGUUAAAUCCAGCGUCUCAAGCGUUGGACUGCGGGCGAUACCUUACAGAUUGAGGGUGGGAUAGGUAAGCGGUAUUUCUGGGGUAGGGGCGAAAUCCUUUGAUCCCAGGAGGACCACCAGUGGCGAAGGCUGCUUACUAGAACACGCCUGACGGUCAGGAACGAAAGCUGGGGUAGCGAACCGGAUUAGAUACCCGGGUAGUCCCAGCUGUAAACGAUGCGCGCUAGGUGUUGGGUCGGCCAUGCGCCGCCCCCAGUGCCGCAGGGAAGCCGUUAAGCGCGCCGCCUGGGGAGUACGGCCGCAAGGGCUGAAACUUAAAAGGAAUUGGCGGGGGGAGCA